rnacentral:lncRNA from 1 species
CCAGAAGUGUUGGAUUGGUCGUUUGGUUUGGGUUCUAUGUCAGAAACCAUUUGCAGACAAAUGGCAAGGCAGGGCUCAGACAGUCCUCAGAGGGGACAUUUGUGAGAUUUUGAUUCUGCUGGAAAGCUGAGAUAUGCAUUUGUCUGUAGGAAACUGAUGAAGCAGGGUCAUCAUUGCCUUCAAAAUGAAAUUCAUACAUGGGGUUGGCCGGGCUCCUCCUUUCCUUCUUAUACUCCAACAGCCCAGAAUCACCUUCCGAAAGCUUCCUGCUGCCCAGGUCACCUCCCGCAUGCUCUCCCGCUGCAUUUCACUCGAUUAAACCAUUGUUUCCUUCUGCACCAAAGUUU